rnacentral:misc_RNA from 1 species
CUUCCUUCCUUCUUUCAAAGCUUUUCUUAUGUCUGCUGCCUUCCACGCUGCAUACUUCUGCUUCUGCUCAAGAUCAGGCUGGAGUUCACCAAACUGAUUAAGGAUCUCAAAGAAGAUACUCGCAGCAUAAAACGUCUUUGCUGUAUUCAAGUCUGCUCGCCCAGCUCGAUCUUGUUUGUCAGCCUUGGCGAAAACAUUCAAGGCAAAUCCCUCCACAUGCAAAUGAUCAUCAGGCCCCAAUUUCAGUGACUUCUUAUCCUUUUCA